rnacentral:rRNA from 1 species
ACAUGGAUGUCGUCAGGUCGUGUCGUGAGAUCAUGGGAUAAGUACCGUACGAGCGCAACCCUUUGUCCCUAGUUUACAGCACGUAAUGGUGCGCACUCUAAGGAGACUGAGGUGACACUCGGAGGAAGGUGGGAUGACGUCAAGUCAUCAAGGCCUUACGGCCAGGGCUACACACGUGCUACAAUGGUCGGUACAAAGGGUUGCCAAGCCGCGAGGUGGAGCUAAUCCCAUAAAACCGAUCGUAGUCCGGAUCGCAGUCUGCAACUCGACUGCGUGAAGUCGGAAUCGCUAGUAAUCGUGAAUCAGAAUGUCACAGGUGAAUACGUUCCCGGGCCUUGUACACACCGCCCGUCUACACCGAUGGGAGUGGGUUGCUCCAGAAGUAGCUAGUCUAACAUACGGGGAGACGUUACUACGGAGUGAUCAUGCCG